CUAGCCAUUACUCAGAUUCUGAAUCAAUCUGAUCUAUGAAUCCUCCGUUUCGUUUCCUUUGUUUAGCUAUCACCCAGAAAGAAUCUGAUUUUGAGAAAAUCUACGAGAUUCUCUAGCUCUAGGUUCUAAGUUUUAUAGUCUGUUGGGUUGGUUUAUCUGUUUCCUCUGAAACAUAAGCUUCGAUCGAACUUGUUAUUUAUUACUUACACAGACUCUAGCUAUUACUCAGAUGCUCUUUUAGUUUCCUGGCUUUUGCUAUUAACCAUAGAAUCUGAUUUUGAGAAAAUCUACUAAAUCCUCUAGCUCUAGGGUUUAAGUUUUAGUCUGUUGGUUGCUUCAUGGAACAUAAGCUUCGAUCGAUCAUCUAACCAACUUCUUCUGGGUUUGCAAAAUUGCCUUUCAGAUUCGAACUAAGGCCACACGGACAAGCAUUGUCUUCUUCUAUGGGGAGGGAACUUAGCAGACUACGCUUUUUGACCAGGAGAAUGACCGGUAAGGAUCUUGAUGGUCUGAAUUAUGCCGAGCUUCUCGUAGUUGAAAGCCAGUUAAGGGUUGCACUUCUCAUUGUGAAGAACCAAAAGAAGAGAGUAAAGCUGCUAAAAGAUGAAAGGCUGUGCAAACAAGAGGUUAAGAUUUUAUAUCAUAGACAGUACUAUCAAUCUGAGAAGUCUCACAAGGACAUGAGCGGAAAAUGUAAAUGAGCUAAGAUGUGCGUUUUUGAGCCUUGGGUUUUGGUUUCUCAUGUGAUUUUGGAUCUGCUUGUUUCCAAGUUUGACAAAAGUGUAGGAAAGAACAA